GACGAACGCUGGCGGCGUGCCUAACACAUGCAAGUCGAGCGAAUGAAGUUCCUUCGGGAAUGGAUUUAGCGGCGGACGGGUGAGUAACACGUGGGCAACCUGCCUCAUAGAGGGGAAUAGCCUUCCGAAAGGGAGAUUAAUACCGCAUAAGAUUGUAGUAUCGCAUGAUACAGCAAUUAAAGGAGCAAUCCGCUAUGAGAUGGGCCCGCGGCGCAUUAGCUAGUUGGUGAGGUAACGGCUCACCAAGGCGACGAUGCGUAGCCGACCUGAGAGAGUGAUCGGCCACAUUGGGACUGAGACACGGCCCAGACUCCUACGGGAGGCAGCAGUGGGGAAUAUUGCACAAUGGGGGAAACCCUGAUGCAGCAACGCCGCGUGAGUGAUGACGGCCUUCGGGUUGUAAAGCUCUGUCUUCAGGGACGAUAAUGACGGUACCUGAGGAGGAAGCCACGGCUAACUACGUG
rnacentral:rRNA from 1 species